UAGCAAUCUUCGAAUUAAUUGAAACCAAGACUACGUCAAAGAUGGUUUCUUCAAAGUCAACCAAUCUCUUUGAUUGUAGUCACCUUAAGCUACCAAUUAGCUAUAAAGGUUUCAUUAUUUCGGGUCAAAUGGUAUUUUACCAUUUCCUUGAGUAUAUGUCGUAUAUACACUCAAUGUAGUCAUAAGGAUUUUCAUUCUUAUUUCUU
rnacentral:lncRNA from 1 species